ensembl:snoRNA
UGGCACCGUUCGUAACCUGUUAGCAGCGCCCUCCUGCUGAUGGGUUCCAUUCCGGUGCUACAUGAAACCCUGAGAUAAAAAAUGACUGGUUGGUUCUCUGCCUGUCCACGUUAUUUCGGGGGACAUCA